rnacentral:rRNA from 1 species
CACGUAGGGGGCGAGCGUUGUCCGGAUUUAUUGGGCGUAAAGAGCUCGUAGGCGGCUCAGUAAGUCGGGUGUGAAAACUCCAGGCUCAACCUAGAGACGCCACCCGAUACUGCUGUGGCUAGAGUCCGGUAGGGGAGCAUGGAAUUCCUGGUGUAGCGGUGAAAUGCGCAGAUAUCAGGAGGAACACCAGCGGCGAAGGCGGCGCUCUGGGCCGGAACUGACGCUGAGGAGCGAAAGCGUGGGGAUCAAACAGG